UGAGGAAUAUUGGACAAUGGGCGCAAGCCUGAUCCAGCAAUGCCGCGUGCAGGAUGAAGGCCUUCGGGUUGUAAACUGCUUUUGUACGGAGCGAAAAGGUCUGCCCUAAUACGGUGGGCUCAUGACGGUACCGUAAGAAUAAGCACCGGCUAACUACGUGCCAGCAGCCGCGGUAAUACGUAGGGUGCGAGCGUUAAUCGGAAUUACUGGGCGUAAAGCGUGCGCAGGCGGUUAUAUAAGACAGAUGUGAAAUCCCCGGGCUCAACCUGGGACCUGCAUUUGUGGCUGUAUAGCUAGAGUAAGGUAGAGCGGGAUGGAAUUCCGCGUGUAGCAGUGAAAUGCGUAGAUAUGCGGAGGAACACCGAUGGCGAAGGCAAUCCCCUGGCCCUGUACUGACGCUAAUGCACGAAAGCGUGGGGAGCAGAC
rnacentral:rRNA from 1 species